rnacentral:rRNA from 1 species
GUGGGGAAUAUUGGACAAUGGGCGCAAGCCUGAACCAGCGACGCCGCGUGAGUGAUGAAGGCCUUCGGGUUGUAAAGCUCUGUGGGGAGAGACGAAAGAAUCGGUUCUAACAGGACCGAAGUUGACGGUAUCUCCUUAGCAAGCACCGGCUAACUCUGUGCCAGCAGCCGUGGUAAGACAGAGGGUGCAAACGUUGCUCGGAAUCACUGGGCGUAAAGGGCGUGUAGGCGGGAAUGUAAGUCGGGCGUGAAAUCCCUAGGCUCAACCUAGGAACUGCACUCGAAACUGCGUUUCUUGAGUAUCGGAGAGGAAAGCGGAAUACCUGGUGUAGAGGUGAAAUUCGUAGAUAUCAGGUGGAACACCAGUGGCGAAGGCGGCUUUCUGGACGAUAACUGACGCUGAGACGCGAAAGCGUGGGGAGCAAA